rnacentral:RNase_P_RNA from 2 species
UUCUUAUGUUGGGUAGUUGCUGGUCGCGCAGAGUUUUAGCCAAGCGUGAUUAGAGGAAAGUCCGAACAUUUCUAUGUCUUGAAUAUAGAGCAGGGUAGCAGGUAAUACCUGUCUUGCCACGGUGAUUUAUCACCGUGGCAAAGAGGUGCGAGCAGAGACGGUUUUAUUCGAAAGAAUAAAACCACCCGCUGAAGUUUUAUGCGAAGGCGGGUGAGUUUUUAUGGUAACAUAAAAAGUGAAACGGCAAAAUCCUUACCUGAAUGCAAGGCCGUGUUGCGCGCGAAGCGCGUGAAGUGCCGCUUGAGCCUGAUAGCGAUUGAUGGCCCAGAUAAAUAACUACACAGAACGUUCAGAGUUAUCUCAAAAUUAUCUUUUAGCGUUUAGACAGAAUUCGGCUUAUAGACAUAAGAACUGA